CUGUACUUGCUUUCCAUAUCUAAUGGUGAUGUUACUACAUAAUGUUUUCCAUAUUGUAAGGAUGUUCAAUGAAUUACUUUUUUUAAAAACUUCAUUUCACUGAGGGCCAUCUUCUCAUUUAUAAUUACACUUUGCCAAUUGUCGUUUUCUGCUUAUGUUUCCCAGAAUACAACGUACAAUGGCAUUCAACAACUCCACAGUGAACAGCGAUGAACAUUGUGAGAGGUUGUUUGACUUGUAUAAUUUUAGUGGUGCCUCAUUAAUUUUGAUCUUCAUCCUCAGUAUCAUAGGAAACUGCCUCCUCUUAUAUGUUCUCUUUCUCUAUGAGAAGUUGAAAAAUGUCACAAAUCUAUUUGUCCUGAACCUUGCCUUCUCCGAUUUGAUGAUCGCAUUCACAUUUCCGUUCUGGGCCUUCUAUAGGCUGCAAGAUGACUGGAUUUUUGAGAAUUUUGCCUGCAAACUUGUGACUGCUGCAGACAUUGUUGGAUUGUACAGUAACGUCAUUCUACUGACUGCUAUGACUGUGGACCGUUUCAUAACAGUGGUGCUGCACAACAUGCCAAAAAAACAAGAAAAGAGGUGGAAGUUUGCGGGAUUUAGCUGUGCAGCUGCAUGGAUCAUCAGCAUUUCAGUUUCUGUAUAUGCUGCUACCAACGUCAGUGUUGAAACACUCUGGUUUGGUCGCUCCUGCUAUCUUACGACAUCUGAUAAUGACGAAGCAUUUUAUCUUGCAGUGUCUGUGCUCUUCUUCUUCCCAUUAGCCAUCAUUGUUUUCUGCUAUUCUGCCAUCCUCAAGACAGUGUUGCAGGCUUCAAACAGAAGAAAGCACAGGACAGUAGUGGUGGUGUUAUGUAUAGUUGCUGCCUUCAUCAUCUGCUGGGUACCUCACAAUAUUAUGGAUAUAAUCGUGUUGCUCUAUAAACCUAAAGAGUGUUAUGCACAGAAACGCUUGACAAUUGCCUUUCAUAUUUUUCUGAUACUUGCUCAUUCUCACUGCUGUAUGAAUCCUUUUCUGUAUAUGCUCUCAGAAAAGUGGCGAAGGCAUCUUUUGGAUGUUUUUAGCUGCAAGAAAGUCAGGAGGAUGAGAGACAGGGAGAAAGGCACUGGCUCCUCUGUGAACCAAAAUGUAGCUUUUAUAUCAUAAAGCUCUGCUGUUGUGUUGGAACCCACCUGCAGCUAGACAUUUAUUGCUAAAAAUGAAAACAUCAAUGAAUACUUGAUAUCAUUUUUGUUUUGAACUUUAUUUGAACCUAUGGUGUUCAUAUUUCCUUAAGGAUAUCAGGGGGUCUAUUUCUAUAUAAGUCUCCAUGUUAAUGCUCAACUCUGACUACAUUUUGCACAUUCUUGCACACAUGUUUGCGCAGCCCUCCACCUUAAAAUACAAUUCACUGUAGUUUGCCAUAUAUUGCCAUGUCUUCAUUGUUCUCUCGCUAGUUAAUUUAGCUUCAGUAGCUUUGUGAGUAGGUGGAAAACACUGUCACUGGCUGUCUUAAAGUUGUACAGUUUUAAAUGACUCAUUUAAAAAUGUCAGUCUCAUGAAAGGGUCUUUAAUAAAGACUUGAUGGCUUGAAAAGACUGAGGCUAAAGAUUUGCAAAAAGGUAGUUUCCUCACCAAUUGAGGAUCAAUGUAAAGGAACAUUAAAGGAACGUUUAUAAAGCUAAAGUGACUUUGUUUCAUGUUCGAUGACAGGAAAAAGCAGCACAACUACAUGUGAUUAAACAACUGUAAAACUGUUAUCAAAUCAACUCUUAAAAGGUCAUGGUUAUAAUGAUUUUACUGCACUAAACAAAUCAACCUACUAGAUGGAAUUGAACCAGUUUUCGGUUUCUAGCUAAUUAAUUAAGCUUCAUUGGCUUUGUGAAUUGGUUCUAAAAAUGAUAUGUGAUGUACACUUUUUAAUCAAACAUGUAAACCAAUUCCAUUUAUUUUCCCUUUUAAUUUCCACUCAAGCUGUGUGCUGAAAAACAACAACAAUCAGCUCUGUGUCAUUUGGUAAAUAUUCAUGUGAUUUCAAAUUCUUGUUGAUACAUGUGUCAUGCAUUGUACAGAUAAUAUGUGAUACACUGUGUGUUACUUCACUUAACUUUAUGGUUUCAUAUCAAAUCGUUUAUCUCAGUUGUUAGUGUAGUUGUUAUAUUGUCACCUUUAAGAGUCUUGCAAACAAAACAGAACAUAUUUUCUUUUCAAAAUAUAUAUUCUUUUAUCAAAUUGGAACUUGUAACGUGUGAUUUAUACAUGUAUUUUAAUAGUUGCUAGAACACAUUAUCAUUAUUUCCUUGCUAGGAUAAAAAAGAUGAAAACAUCUUUCUAGCACGGACCCUUCCUUCCUGUUUUGUCUACGUUAUGUUUUAUCAGCAGAACAUCAGGUUACCAUUUUUGGUUAAUCUAAAAAUAUUCAUGCUUAAACUGGAAUGAUGAUGCAACACCUCUGAAAAAUGUGAAACCAAAGGAGGAGCUUCUUCAUUAGUUUACUCUUACAGUGGGGCAAAAAAGUAUUUAGUCAGCCACCAAUUGUGCAGGUUCUCCCAUUUAAAAAGAUGAGAGGCCUGUAAUUUUUAUCAUAGGUAUACCUUAACUAUGAGAGACAGAAUGAGAAAAAAAAUCCAGAAAAUCACAUUGCAGGAUUUUUAAUGAAUUAAUUUUCAAAUUAUUGUGGAAAAUAAGUAUUUGGUCAAUAACAAAAGUUCAUCACAAUACUUUGUUAUAUACCCUUUGUUGGCAAUGACAGAGGUCAAACGUUUUCUGUAAGUCUUCACCAGGUUUUCACACACUGUUGCUGGUAUUUUGGCCCAUUCCUCCAUGCAGAUAUCCUCUACAGCAGGGAUGUUUUGGGGCUGUCGCUGGGCAACACGGACUUUCAACUCCCUCCAAAGAUUUUCUAUGGGGUUGAGAUCUGGAGACUGGCUAGGCCACUCCAGGACCUUGAAAUGCUUCUUACGAAGCCACUCCUUCGUUGCCCUGGCGGUGUGUUUGGGAUCAUUGUCAUGCUGAAAGACCCAGCCACGCUUCAUCUUCAGUGCCCUUGCUGAUGGAAGAGGUUUUCACUCAAAAUCUCACGAUACAUGGCCCCAUUCAUUCUUUCCUUUACACGGAUCAGUCGUCCUGGUCCCUUUGCAGAAAAACAGCCCCAAAGCAUGAUGUUUCCACCCCCAUGCUUCACAGUAGGUAUGGUGUUCUUUGGAUGCAACUCUGCAUUCUUUCUCCUCCAAACACGACGAGUUGAGUUUUUACCAAAAAGUUCUAUUUUGGUUUCAUCUGACCAUAUGACAUUCUCCCAAUCCUCUUCUGGAUCAUCCAAAUGCCCUCUAGCAAACUUCAGACGGGCCUGGACAUGUACUGGCUUAAGCAGGGGGACACGUCUGGAACUGCAGGAGUGCGGCGUAGUGUGUUACUGAUGGUAGCCUCAGUUACUUUGGUCCCAGCUCUCUGCAGGUCAUUCACUAGGUCCCCCCGUGUGGUUCUGGGAUUUUUGCUCACCGUUCUUGUGAUCAUUUUGAACCCACGAGGUGAGAUCUUGCGUGGAACCCCAGAUCGAGGGAGAUUAGCAGUGGUCUUGUAUGUCUUCCAUUUUCUAAUAAUUGCUCCCACAGUUGAUUUCUUCACACCAAGCUGCUUACCUAUUGCAGAUUCAGUUUUCCCAGCCUGGUGAAGGUCUACAAUUUUGUCUCUGGUCUCCUUUGACAGCUCUUUGGUCUUGGCCAUAGUGGAGUUUGGAGUAUGACUGUUUGAGGUUGUGGACAGGUGUAUUUUAUACUGAUAACGAGUUCAAAAAGGUGCCAUUAAUACAGGUAACGAGUGGAGGACAGAGGAGCAUCUUAAAGAAGAAGUUACAGGUCAGUGAGAGCCAGAAAUCUUGCUUGUUUGUAGGUGACCCAAUACUUAUUUUACUGAGGAAUUUACCAAUUAAUUCAUUAAAAAUCCUACAAUGUGAUUUCCUGGAUUUUUUUUUCUCAUUUUGUCUCUCAUAGUUGAGGUGUACCUAUGAUAAAAAUUACAGGCCUCUCUCAUCUUUUUAAAUGGGUGAACUUGCACAAUUGGUGGCUGACUAAAUACUUUUUUGCCCCACUGUAUAUCGCACAGCUUCUCCAUCACAAUGAAACUCCCCACAUGAAGUGACAGUCGUUGUUCAGGAAUACAACAUACAAUGGCAUUCAACAACUCCACAGUGAACAGCGGAGGUGAAAACUACAGCGAUGAACAUUUUGCACUUCCGUUCUGGGCCUUCUAUUGGCUGCAAGAUGACUGGGUCUUUGGGAAUUUUGCCUGCAAGCUUGUGACUGCUGCAGACAUUGGUG